GUUGAACGCUGGCGGCGUGCCUAACACAUGCAAGUCGAGCGAAUGAAGGAGACUUUCGCCUGUAUGCAGCUGCGGACGGGUGGGUAAGGCCUAGGAGGCUACCUUAUCGUUGAGAAUGGCGUCCGUAAAGGGGCGCGAAUACCGCAUACGUCAUUAUUUAGAACGGGAGGGAUCUUAGGACCUCGCGCUAUCAGAUGAGCCUAGGUCGUAUUAGCUAGUUGGUUGGGUAAAGGCCUACCAAGGCGACGAUCCGUAACUGGUCUGAGAGGAUGAUCAGUCACACUGGAACUGAGACACGGUCCAGACUCCUACGGGAGGCAGCAGUGGGGAAUCUUCGACAAUGGGCGAAAGCCUGACGCAGCAACGCCGCGUGUGUGAAGAAGGUCUUCGGAUCGUAAAGCACUUUAAGUAGGGAGGAAGGUAAGUAAGUUAAUCUCUUGACGUCUUGACGUUACCAAAAGAAUAAGCAACGGCUAACUUCGUG
rnacentral:rRNA from 1 species